CACCGAAGUCAAGCAGCACUGGGCGCGGUCAGUACUUGGGUGGGUGACCACUUGGGAACUCCGCGUGCCGUU